rnacentral:rRNA from 1 species
AGAAUCAACGCUGGCGGCGUGCCUAACACAUGCAAGUCGAACGAGAAAGUGGAGCAAUCCACGAGUAAAGUGGCGCACGGGUGAGUAACACGUGACUAACCUACCCUUGAGUGGGGGAUAACCUAGGGAAACCUGGGCUAAUACCGCAUAAUACCUACGGGUCAAAGGAGCAAUUCGCUUAAGCGGAGGGGGUCGCGGCCGAUUAGUUAGUUGGCGGGGUAAUGGCCCACAAGACGAUGAUCGGUAU